ACGGUAUAUUGAUAAGGCCAGGUACACAGUGUGCAUGAAAAAAUACCAUUUUCCUGUUAAAUUUUAAGAGAAAAUUGGCCGCAAAUAUAAACACACAAAGGCCUAGCCCCAAAGAAUGAUGCUUUUCAUGCUGCUGUUCAGUCGGCAGGGCAAGCUACGGCUGCAGAAGUGGUACAUGGCCUAUCCAGAUAAGGUGAAAAAGAAGAUCACCCGCGAGUUAGUGACCACGAUACUGGCUCGCAAGCCCAAGAUGUGCUCGUUCCUGGAGUGGAAGGACUGCAAAAUCGUAUACAAGAGAUAUGCCAGCUUGUACUUCUGUUGCGCCAUCGAGCAGAACGACAAUGAGUUGCUGACCCUAGAGAUCAUCCAUCGCUAUGUGGAGCUGCUGGAUAAGUACUUUGGCAGCGUUUGCGAGCUGGACAUCAUAUUCAACUUCGAGAAAGCGUAUUUCAUUCUCGAUGAGCUGCUAAUUGGCGGCGAGAUCCAGGAGACAUCGAAGAAGAAUGUACUUAAAGCGAUUGCCUCACAGGAUCUGCUACAAGAGAAGCAAGAAGAGUUCUUUUACCUCGCUGCAAUAGUCCUAAGAUACGAUUUCCGCGUCUGUGUGUGUUGUUCAUUUUUGUUAAUACCUAAAUUCCUAAAACAUUGAAGAUAAUUGUAAAGCACACACCACAAGUUGUAAACGCCUCGAAAAUUGAUUGCAUGCCUCAGUUGCGUGCCACAGACUUGGCCCUCCGCCGAAAACGAAACGAAUUGAUGAGACCCCGCAGAGUUUCUUCGAUGAUCAUGGCCUGGGAUAAGUUGGCAGGUCCAUCAAAAUAUAACAGUACUUAUUUUGCCUUAAAAUGUAUGCGUGUAUAUGUAUUCAAAUCUAAACUUAAAAGUCCGUCAGUUUUUUAUAGAUUAUACUCCCUAUAUCGCUUGGCAAAUACAAUUUGCAAAAGUACAUUUUACACCCCUACCCCAAUAAAAACACACACACGUA
rnacentral:misc_RNA from 1 species